rnacentral:tRNA from 2 species
GGGGCGAUAGCUCAGCUGGGAGAGCGCUGCCCUCGCACGGCAGAGGUCGGCGGUUCGAAUCCGCUUCGCUCCACCA